AUGCCGCUUCGGAGAAGACUGUUUGUCCCACAUACAGAUGUAGAAUAUUCUACAAGAGUGAGUGGACAACAGAAUGGAAAAAGUGAGCAACAGCAGGUGAAACAGAGCCCUCAGCCCCUGGCAGUCCACGAAGGAGUGAUUUCAGUUCUGAACUGUACUUAUGAGAAUGACGCAUUUGACUACUUCCCACGGUACCAGCAGUACCCUGGUCAAGGCCCUGGAUUCUUGAUAGCCAAAACUUCAGGUGGGCAUAAAAAGGAAGAUGGAAGAUUCACAGUUUCCUCCAAUAAAAGUGCUAAACACUUCUCAUUGCACAUCAAGGACUCCCAGCCCGGAGACUCAGCCACCGACUUCUGUGCAGCAAGUUCCCAGUGCUCCCCAGGCACCUGUAGCCUGUACCCAAACCUGCAGCCGGGGCUCCAGCCACAUCCUGAUGUGUAG